rfam:Triticum aestivum genome assembly, contig: Triticum_aestivum_CS42_TGACv1_scaffold_000710_1AL
GUAGUACUUCCUCGGUCCAGAAAUACUUGUUCUAAAAAUGAAUAAAAUGAAUGUAUUUAUAACUAAAAUAAAUCUAGAUACAACCAUUUUCAGGACAAGUAUUUUUGGACGGAGGAAGUACUGC